rnacentral:rRNA from 1 species
GACGAACGCUGGCGGCGUGCCUAAUACAUGCAAGUAGAACGCUGAAGAGAGGAGCUUGCUCUUCUUGGAUGAGUUGCGAACGGGUGAGUAACGCGUAGGUAACCUGCCUUGUAGCGGGGGAUAACUAUUGGAGACGAUAGCUAAUACCGCAUAACAAUGGAUGACACAUGUCAUUUAUUUGAAAGGGGCAAUUGCUCCACUACAGGAUGGACCUGCGUUGUAUUAGCUAGUAGGUGAGGUAAUGGCUCACCUAGGCGACGAUACAUAGCCGACCUGAGAGGGUGAUCGGCCACACUGGGACUGAGACACGGCCCAGACUCCUACGGGAGGCAGCAGUAGGGAAUCCUCGGCAAUGGGGGCAACCCUGACCGAGCAACGCCGCGUGAGUGAAGAAGGUUUUCGGAUCGUAAAGCUCUGUUGUAAGUCAAGAACGGGUGUGAGAGUGGAAAGUUCACACUGUGACGGUAGCUUACCAGAAAGGGACGGCUAACUACGUG